UAGGGAAUCUUCGGCAAUGGACGAAAGUCUGACCGAGCAACGCCGCGUGAGUGAAGAAGGUUUUCGGAUCGUAAAACUCUGUUGGUAGAGAAGAACGUUGGUGAGAGUGGAAAGCUCAUCAAGUGACGGUAACUACCCAGAAAGGGACGGCUAACUACGUGCCU
rnacentral:rRNA from 1 species